ensembl:lncRNA
GUCACCUGUGUCUCCAGCACCCACCCAGGAGCCACUUCCUGCCAGGCUGAGUCACUUCACUGUGGCUAGGUCAGCUGUCUUACCUCUGCCACCCGGCCCACCAAGGCCACAGCUGCACUGGGUUCAGUGCAGGGUGGGGGAGGGGUCCCUUCAUGUCUGUGUCAUGGCUGUUGUCCGAGCACUAAAGCAGCACUGCUUGUCUAUCAGAGUGAACAAGCCCCCAGGCCCUGCUCCCUAGCCCCCUGGGGUUUAGGCGUAGGUCGCGGGAACCAGAGGUCGCUGAUGGAGCUGGACCGUGUCAUCCAGUCAGCCUUCCUGUGGGGGGCGCCCAUUCUGUUUCCUCUCUCUUCCUGGUUAUCCGCUUCUGCUUAUGGUCAUCCAUAAACAGCCCUGUUCUGAUCCUGCCUGAAACUGCAAGGCCCUCUCGGCUUCUGUCCCCACCACACGCCCCACCCUGAGCUGUGUGUGUCCUCACUUGGCUCACUCAGCAUUUCCUGAGCUGGCUGCCUGCUUUCACCUCCUGGGCCUGGCUUGCCCUUCUCUCCGUCUGCCUGCGAGUCCCUGAUGGCCCAGGGGAGCUGAUCACACCCCACCAGCCCUGCCUGCUCCUGUGCACUUAACAUCCAGUGUUGUCACGGAUUAUUUAUGCUUCUAAUUCGUCUAUUCCUGAAGACAAAGACAGGCUCUCUCGGUAUUGGCCUCCUUGUCUAGCACAGACUCUUACAGAAUGCAGGCUGCAACAUUUAAAUAUUUGUUGAAUACAUGGAGGCUAUGAGCUUCGUUAGGAAAGUAGUCUCUUCGAGUGCUUAAGGGCCUGGCGUCAGGAGCAGAACUACCUGCGUUUCAAACCAGAUGCUGCUACUUACUAGGUGCCUGACGGUGGCAAAGUUCAUGACUGAUCUCAUCACGUGAGUCCUUCAAAGUGGAGAAUCAUUCCUGGCUGGGUCAGACAGGGGCAGGAGGAGUGAUUCAAAGUGUGAGAGGGACUUGGCCCACCCACCGAUGUUGGCUUUGAAGAUGGAGGAAGGGGACCAGGAGCCAAGGACUGUGAGUGGCCUCUAGAAACUGAGAAUGGCCCCCAGAUGACAACCAGCAAAAAACAGUGACCUUGGUCCUACAACCUCAAGGAGUUGAAUUUUCUUACAACCCAAAUGAACAAGGAAACAGACGGUCCCCUAGAGCCUACAGAAGGGAUUGUGGCCCUGCUGAAACCUUGAGCUUAAGCUGGUGAGACCCACGUUGGACUAAUAACCUACAGAAUUGCAAGGCUAGGGAAGACCAGACUUGGGAUCAAGCUGACACCUUGGAAGCCUGAGUGAAGAGACUGGAAAAUCAUUGGGCUGCUGUUGAGGUUGGACCCUUGGAUUCCGCCCUACCUGAAUUUGAUCUACCCCUGGGCUCUUCCAUUAUGUGAACCAAGAAUUUAUCUUUAUUAAGCCAGUUUGAUCUGGACUUUGUUACUCAUUUAAUAGAAAUAACAGAAAGCAUCCUAGCAGACAGACUGCACAAGCAAAUCUGGGGGAACAUUCUUAAUACAUCUGCAUAAGCAAUUAGAACAUGAAUAAUUCCUAUUUGAACUUCAAUACAUUCUUCUAUUAAAGAUGUGUUAUUAGAAUAUUAUAGAACAAGAAUGUACG